rnacentral:rRNA from 1 species
UACGGAGGGGGCUAGCGUUGUUCGGAAUUACUGGGCGUAAAGCGUGCGUAGGCGGUUUGCCGUGUCCUGUGUGAAAGCCCCGGGCUCAACCUGGGAAUUGCAUGGGAAACUGGCAGGCUUGAGUGUGGCAGAGGAGGGUGGAAUUCCGCGUGUAGCAGUGAAAUGCGUAGAGAUGCGGAGGAACACCAGUGGCGAAGGCGGCUCACUGGCCCGGUACUGACGCUGAGGAGCGAAAGCAUGGGGAGCGAAACAGG